rnacentral:rRNA from 1 species
UAAGUAUGAAAAAUUCAAACUGUGAAAUUGCUAGUGGAUCAUUAGUAUGAACAAAUUCAGAUUGUGAAAUUAUGAAUGAAUUAUUAAAUUAUUUAUAGUUUGCUUAAUAGUAUCUACUAGUUGGAUAACCAUAGUAAUUCUAGAUCUAAUACGUGAAACAAACCCCAAAUUCUGAAAGGGAGGCAUUUAUUAGAUAACAGGUCGACGCGAGAUGUAUCCAUUAUUAUGAUGAUUCAUGAUAACUCGAUAGAUUGUAUGGUCAUUGUGUCAGUGAUGCAUCAUCCAAAUUUUUGCCCGAUCAACUUUCGGUAUUAGGAUAGUGUCCAACCAUAAUGGUGUGGGUGAUAGAGAAUUGGAUAUAAUUCCAGAGAGGGAGCCUAGAAAUGGCUACCACAUCUAAGAAAGGAAGCCGGCACAAAAAUUUCCCAAUCCUAACAUGGAGAGUUAUUGAUAAUAAAUAAAUACCGAGUUUAAUUAUUCUGAUAAUUGGAAUGAGUACAAUCUAAUUCCCUUAACGAGGAUACAUUAAAAGGCAAGUCUAUUGCUAAUAGUCGUGGUAAUUCAAGCUCCAAUAGAGUACAUUUAAUUUGUUGUAGUUAAAAAGGUCAUAGUUGGACUUUGGGAUGGGCGUCCAGUUUGCCUAUUGUGUACAACGACCAUCUCAUCCCUUCUUUCGGUGAUGUGCUUAUGCCAUUAAUAGUCGAGUUGCACCUACAACAUUGUUACUUUGAAGAAAUUAGAGUUCUUAAAGCAAUACUAUGCUUUGUAUACAUUAGUAUGCGACAACAUUAUAGGAUUUCGAUCCUAUUAUGUUGGCCUUUGGGAUCAGAGUUAUAUUUAAGAAUGACAGUCGGGGGCAUUCAUAUUUUGUAGUCAGAGGUGAAAUUUUUGGAUUUAAGAAAGAUGAACAACUACGAAAUUACUUUUCAAGGAUGUUUUCUUUAAUCAAAACUUAAAGUUAGGGUCUUGAAGAUGAUCAGAUACCAUCCUAUUCUCAACCGUAAAUGAUGCCGACCAAGGAUCAAAAGAUGAUGCUUUUAAGAUUCUGCCGGUACCUUAUAAAAAUCAAAGUUUUUGGUUUCGAGGGGUUAUGGUCACAAGGAUAAAACUUAAAGGAAUUAGUGGAAGGGAACCACUAAGAGUAGAUCUUGCAGCUUAAUUUGACUCAACACAGGGAAACUUACCUGGUCUAGACAUAAUAAGGAUUGACAGACUGGAAGUUGUUUGUUGAUUCUAUGGGUGGUGGUGCAUGGUCGUUCUUAGUUGGUGGAGCAAUUUAUCUAGUUAAUUUCACUAACAAAUAAGACCUCAGCCUACCAACUAUCUAUGUAGAGGUAUCCAUUCGAGGCCAGCUUCUUAGAGAGAUACUAUCACGACCCAAAUGAAGACCUUGUCAUGACGGGUAUCUCUAGCUCACUAUGGACCAGAGACCACUCCCUUAGGCUAACCUCAAGAGCACAAUAAUAAUUGCAAUGUGGAAGACAAUUAAGAUAGUAAUAAAAGAUAAAUAAGUCAAAUGAAAGUUCUAAGAGUCAAAACCAACAAUCUGACCCAUA